UACAGAGGUCCCAAGCGUUGUUCGGAAUUACUGGGCGUAAAGGGCUCGUAGGUGGCCAACUAAGUCAUGCGUGAAAUCCCUCGGCUUAACCGGGGAACUGCGUCUGAUACUGGAUGGCUUGAGUUUGGGAGAGGGAUGCGGAAUUCCAGGUGUAGCGGUGAAAUGCGUAGAUAUCUGGAGGAACACCGGUGGCGAAGGCGGCAUCCUGGACCAACACUGACACUGAGGAGCGAAAGCCAGGGGAGCAAACGGG
rnacentral:rRNA from 1 species